GGAUGUGAGGGCAAUUUGGCUGUGACAUCUAUCACCCCUUUGAUCGGCAGUGUGGAUUAGGCUGAUCUGGCUGGCUAGGCAGGUGUCCCCUUCCUCCCUCACUCCUUGUGUGUCCCUUCCAAAGGUGCACACUCCAUCGAAGAGGACAAUCUUCCCCCAUAGAGGAGGACCAUUCUCAAGUAAAGGAUGUAAGAGUAGCUGUGCUCCCCUGCUGCAAACUGCAAACAAGCUCUCAAGGUCCACUUGUAGAAGGUAGGCUAGUCAAGCUUCCAAGAGUCCAGACACAUCCAAAUGAGGAGGAACACGUGACAACCUUCCAUUCUUA
rnacentral:snRNA from 1 species